rnacentral:rRNA from 1 species
GAUGAGCGCUAGCGGCAGGCCUAACACAUGCAAGUCGAGGGGUAGGAAGAGCUUGCUUUUCUGAGACCGGCGCACGGGUGCGUAACGCGUAUACAAUCUACCUUGUACAGGGGGAUAGCCCAGAGAAAUUUGGAUUAAUACCUCAUAGUGUUAUUGAGUGGCAUCACAUGAUAACUAAAGUUCCAACGGUACAAGAUGAGUAUGCGUCCCAUUAGUUAGAUGGUAAGGUAACGGCUUACCAUGACAAUGAUGGGUAGGGGUCCUGAGAGGGAGAUCCCCCACACUGGUACUGAGACACGGACCAGACUCCUACGGGAGGCAGCAGUGAGGAAUAUUGGACAAUGGGGGCAACCCUGAUCCAGCCAUGCCGCGUGCAGGAUGACGGUCCUAUGGAUUGUAAACUGCUUUUAUACAGGAAGAACCCCUUCUUUGCGAAGAAGACUGACGGUACUGUAAGAAUAAGGAUCGGCUAACUCCGUGCCAGCAGCCGCAGUAACAC